rnacentral:rRNA from 1 species
AAAACGACUCUCGGCAACGGAUAUCUCGGCUCUCGCAUCGAUGAAGAACGUAGCGAAAUGCGAUACUUGGUGUGAAUUGCAGAAUCCCGUGAACCAUCGAGUCUUUGAACGCAAGUUGCGCCCCAAGCCUUCUGGCCGAGGGCACGUCUGCCUGGGUGUCACAU